AUAAUGCUGUCCCCUACAGGGCGGGAUUGGGAUCAAACUGAUUCAAAUGUUCUAAUCUAGAACAACAUACUCUCGCGAGAUUUGGUAUAGAUCUCUGUUUGACCCGGUUUGACCUGACUUGAGAGAAACAUCACAGCGCAAGAACAACUAAAAGUAAGUAAAUUGUUUUUGUUUUCCUAAAUUAUGCGCUCUUACCACAUACAAGGUAGGAUUCGUUCUACUACAGUAACGUCACUGCGUUGCAUAAAAAUGAUAUAAAUAUAUUCAACCACGUCCGCGAUCACCUAGCUAAGAUGCCUAGCCACACCUAGCUAAAACAUGUAUGUUUACUGAUACAUAAAGCGUUACAUAUAACCCCCCCCCCUUCCCCCCAAACCGUUCUCGAUCAUUCUAUCCUACUUACUGAAGUUACCUAGUCUUAAUAAACAGUUAUAUAUUAUUUCUAGUAACAUUUAAUGCUCCAAUAGCGACGUAUUGGGUGCUGUACAGCUGCAUGUUGGGAUAGCUAGAUGUCUAAACAACUGAAGCGUUGGUUGCUUUGUGUUGUGAGUUUGUUAAACUGCAGAAAAUGGUACACUUUUGCUGCCAUGCUAACCUUCACAAGAAGGCAAAAAGGUUAAAAGUAGGCUGGAGUCACGGUAAUCGUAUUUGGCCGUUUAUUUUGAUGGAGAAAUCUUAAGGCUGUUGGUCAUACUGACAGACUGUAAUUACCCCGACGCAUGCAUGUGUGAAGACAUUUUAAACGUUAUGCACAGAGACUGCGGAGGUAACAACAAUCAAGUAAAGAUUCGCAUCUGAGCGUUGUCUCAAACGUGGACACCUUGAUCAGUGCAGCUCGCUAUCAGCACGCUGAGGAGCUGUAGAGAGCAUCUCGGAGCAUGUCUGAUAGCCUGCCAGUCUCUCUCUGUUUAAUUCUGCACAGAGACUGAGUCAGACUCCAGAACCAGACCACAGCAGGUAAAAUCUUCCUUCUUUAAGUGAAAUCAUUUAAUUGUGGCAUUAUUAUGUUACUGGACACGCUGGCCAGCUUGUUUAGAGUAAAUAUAAUAGAAAAAUGUAUGAAAAUUAAAUUGUGAAUUUUUAUAUUAUUUGAGAGAUGAAAAUGAUUGUAGAAAAGGAUCAAGACCGUUUUUUUACAAUUAUUAAAACUAAACAAAGUAAGAUAUCAUAAAACAAAUGAAAGAUGAUUACAAAUUCCAAUUAGAUAUAAGAAAACAAAAGAUUUUGGUAAAAGCAGCUUUAACUAAAAGUGUUUUAAGCUGUUUUUAAUGGUGUCCAGACUGUUAAUACUACUUAAUAGGGUUGCAUUGGUACCCUAAAAUCCUAAUCAGUUCGGUCAGUGUUUUUAAGGGCUCGGUUCAAUCAAUUUUAGGAAUAUUAUUAUUAUAUCUAUUUAUGUAAUAUUUAAAGUGGCUCCUACAGUGAGCAGAAUGAGGUGUCAUCACAGGCUGCUGAUCUAGCAUGAUGUCUUUAAUUAUUUGACAGGUUAUUUUUGCAGCUAUGAGGGUCACGUUCAUACAAACAAGUGUUGUGUUUGACUUUUGAUGGUCCGUGUUUUUAUUUCUGCAGCGAGCCUUACAAACUCAACUCACACCACCCAGAGUUUCUUCUUUAAAAGUUGUAUAAAAUAAUGUGCUUCCUCGGCAUUUUUUGUUGUAGGAUGAAAACUUUACAUCAGUUUUUCCAGGGAAAAGGUUUGGCUGAUGUGUUUGUUUACAUUUAGCCGCUGCAGACCUGCAGUGUGAGAAGGGACAGAGGGGCAGCGCGACACUCCGUUAAGCGUCUUUACAGGCUCCAGUAGCAGCGACAGCCAGCUGGUUUGAUCUGCUCUGAAAGGCGUUAAUCAGAAUUAGCAGAUCACAUUUCUUAAACGGAGAUCGGGCACAUGCAGCCAUCAUGCAUCACUAAAUACAGCGGCUGUGCGGAAACUCGCCUGGGAACUUUUAUCUGCUGCACUUAAAUCACACAAUAAAAAUGCAUUAUUGUACGAAAAAAAUAAACUGAAACGGUACGCAAGUGGACUGAGCUGAAACGGUUAAACGUUUCAUUAUUGAGGUAAACUCCUCAAUAUAUUGUGAUAUUGAUUUUAGGCCACAUCGCCCAGCCCUACCUCGUAGAGACCUGAAUUGACACUUGCUAGAAAGUAUAUUUUUGUUUAUUAAAGAUUUGAUUAGAUGUAAACCCCUUUACUGAACAAAGACUUGAUGCUUCAUUAUAAAAUAUUUUAACUUUUACAAAAAGUUCCACUGUAUAUUCCAGUAACUUGUGUCUGUUUUUAUAUAGGAUUAGGGUGUCAAAUGACCAGACGAAAACCUGGAAAACGAUGGAGGAGGACCAGUAAUGAAGAUGGCUCAAAUAAACGACCAAGAAGGAUUUCACAAUUGUCAUCUCUUUUUGCAGCCACUAAUGUUCAUGUGGAGACUGAUGAGCAAUCUUUAAGUAGGGAAGCACAGCAGAAGGGUUUGCCUCCUGGAGGAGACCAAAACACUCCACUUGAAAAGGAACCUAUCCAACCACCAAAUAUCCAUGCAGGAUGUGCCCCACUCUCUCUGAACUAUCAAGUCUCUCACCGAUUGCCAGGUACACUCAUCCUCUUUUGUCUGCCUGUCUCUUCAUCCAAGGAUGCACAGUAUUUUUUGUCAAUGGGUAGAUUCAGCUAGUAUAGACCCUUUUACUACCUACGUCAUCAAAAGUUGCGCGCGCAGCCUGGCAACGAGAGUGAAGGCUUCCUCAUUCACACUCGAUAGUAAAACAGCGUUUUAAACCCUUUGUUUUGAAGUUCUGAGCACAUAAAAAUGUCGGGUUGUUGCGUGUAUGGAUGCCAGAAUCGCUUCUCUUCAAGCAGUGGACUGAAACUUUACAGAAUUCCGAAGGGAGCACAUCCAUUUCAACAAAAUCGGAGGCGUCUGUGGCUGCAGGCCAUCAAAAGGGUUGAUGAAAACUGGACUGAAAACACGAUCCGAAAUGCUCGAGUUUGUAGCGCCCAUUUUAUAUCAGGUAAGGUAAUAAUGUACUAGGAUUACACCAGAAAGCUGGUUAACGUAUGUUCUAUUAAAUAAGUCUGGAACAUCAAAAUGACAAAAUUAAACAAAUGUAUACGCUUUAUUUCAUGCUUCAAAUUAACAUUUCAUUCUAAUUCAUCUGUAUUUUCCCACUGCAUAUUAGUAUAAACUGUAUUUCUCUAAAAAUAAACACGAUUGUACUCUGAGCACGCUAAAAAAGAAACCUAUGCUAUACUCACCCUGCCAUGCAGGUACGUAGUUCUCUGGUUUGUUUACUAUGACCCAAGCCUCGUACAUAGCAGUCUUGUGUCCUUGUCUUUGGCUAGGAAGGACUUCUGCCUUCAAGACGCAAAACU